CACCAGGCGGCCCUCCUAACGCGAACGUACCUCGAGAUUCGAGAGCCCAGGCUCUAACCACGGUCUUUCAGUUUAUAACGAGACGAACACCUACUCACUUUACGUUCACAUACGUUCGUUAAAUUUUCUCGUUUCCUCGAGAAAUUACGAUGAGUAUAUCGAGGGCACCCGUCGUUGGAAAUCAAUCGAUGUAAUAAUAUGUAUCAUAAAAUUUCAAAAGCGUGAAUUUCUAUAUCGACUUGAUUAAUCAAUUAAUUAAUUCUACAUCGAAACGAAGCACGUCGAUCUGUUGCAGUGACUGCCCGUCGAUGGUUUAAAUUUCUUAUACAUAAAUAAACAGUUAUUGUUACGUUAAAUAUAUAUUUAUAAACAUAUAUAUACAUACAUAUAUAUAUAUAUAUGAAGAAAUAAAUAAAUAUAUAAUCGACCGAGCGCGCUCGUAAUUGAUUAAUGAUUAAUCGAAAACUCCGAGAGAUCUUAUAUUUGUUUCGCUUGAACUGCAUCCGAAGCGUCUUAUCAAUAUAGUAAAUAAAACUCAUCGUCGUGACGUGUGCUGUUAUUUGUACCUGCAUAUCAGAAAAGAACAAUUACAUAAAUCGAAAGGAGCCGAAGAAAGGAGGAGGUAAAAAAGAAAAGGACGACGCGCGACGCUGCGAGACGAGCGCUGAAACG
rnacentral:misc_RNA from 1 species